rnacentral:rRNA from 1 species
AAACACAAAGGUUUGGUCCUGGCCUUAUAAUUAAUUGAAGGUAGAAUUACACAUGCAAAACUCCCUACACCAGCCGGGUGUUGGUGGCGAGCGUCUUUAAUCCCAGCACUUGGGAGACAGAGGCAGGCAGAUCUCUGUGAGUUCGAGGCCAGCCUGGUCUCCAGAGCGAGUGCCAGGAUAGGCUCCAAAGCUACACAGAGAAACCCUGUCUUGGAAAACCAAAACCAAAACAAAACAAAAAAACUCCUUACACCAGUUCAAAUCCCUAGACUUUAGUCUUUAAGCUCUAAGGAGAGGGUAUCAAGCACAUACUAAUAGUUAAAAACUCCUUGCCUAGCCACGCCCCCCAGGGGACUCAGCAGUGAUAAAAAUUAAGCAAUAAACGAAAGUUUGACUUAGUAAUACCUUUCACAGGGUUGGUAAAUUUCAUGCCAGCCACCUUUGUCAUACGAUUGACCCAAACUAAUUAUCUUCGUCAUAAAACGGAUUAUAGACUUAAGUUAAUAGAAUUAAAACCCAACUAAUAUGUGACAACUCAUUGUUGGAGCUAAACUCAAUGACGAAAGUAAUUCUACCAAUACAGGACAGCUAAGGCCCAAACUAGGAUUAGAUACCCCAAUAUGAUUAGCCUUAAACUUAAAUAAUUAAAUAACAAAACUAUUUGCCCGCGAACUACUAGCCACAGCUUAAAACUCAAAGGACUUGGCGGUACUUUAUAUCCAUCUAGAGGAGCCUGUUCUAUAAUCGAUAAACCCCGUUAUACCUCACCACCCCUUGCUAAUUCAGCUUAUAUACUACCAUCUUCAGCAAACCUUAAAAAAGGACAAGAGUAAGCAAGAGCAUAACCGUAAAAACUUUAGGUCAAGGUGUAGCCUAUGAGGUGGGAAGUAAUGGGCUACAUUUUCUUGAUAAGAACAUUCACGCUACCUUCUAUGAAAUCUAGAGGACAAAGGAGGAUUUAGUAGUAAAUUAAGAAUCGAGAGCUUAAUUGAAUAGAGCAAUGAAUUACGUAUACACCGCCUGCCACCCUCCUCAAAUUAGACUGCCGAUCUUAAUAGUGAUCGACAAGCCUAUGAGAGGAGAUAAGUUAUAACAAGGUAAGCAUACUGGAAAGUGUGCUUGGAUUAAUCAUAAC